AUUUUGAAAAUAGUAUUAAUAUUGUGGCAUUAUUGUGCAGUAUUUAAUUAAAUUUUAUUAAUCUAUACUAUUGAUUGUAAUGGACUUCUUUUGCACAUAAUAUAUAUUAAACCUUAUUUAUAGUAUUAGAACACUAUUGGAAUAAUUUUAAUAAUUUAAAAACAUUUAUAUUAACAGAUAUGCUCUCUUAAUAUUUCUGUUCCUGAUCUUCAUGGAUGUAGUCAAUAAAAACGCAAGUGUUUGUGAAAUAGUUUGCUAAUAAUAUAUAUUUAAUGUAAUUUAAAUGCAAAAAAACAAGUUUUUAGGUAACAAAACAUGCAAGAAUCUGGGUCCACAAAAUAUUGAAUCUGGCAAUCUAGACUCAGAGAAAAUAUAUGAUUGAUUGGGAUUUUUUGCCGUGUAUUACAAAUUUCCCAUAUUGAAUGGGCUUUUCUACCAAUAUAAAAGUAUGUUUUAUCCUAACUUGCAGUCCAUUAUUUCAAGGUAAUAAAUUUUAAAAGCGAUGAGCCAGGUAGGAAAGCUAAUGAGAGCUGCCGGUUUGAUGACUGGAAGCCUCUGAGAAAGUAAUGAAACGGAAGGAUUGAGUUGCAUGUGUGUCUGAGUUUGCACAAAUUGUAGCAUAGAUAAUGUAAAUGCAUCACAGGUUACCAAAAAGUACAUCACAUCUAACCCAAUUGCAACACAGGUAACCUAAGAGCGCCACAAAGGCAUUUUAUAAAUGUAUUUACUGAAGGCAUUAACUCCUUCAUGGUUUUGUCAUAAAAUUACAUUCAUAAUGAUUGUAUACAAUUGUGCUACUGAUAUAAUAUUGUGUAUCGUUACACUUUCCUGUUUUCUGCCAUAAUAUUGGGCAAGAAGCAUUUCUAUUACAACUGUCACACAAGUAGUUCUAGUAAUUUCUACUAGAUGUCAGCACUUCCUUGGUCCUCUGUCAUGAGUGUUUGCACGUAGGUGAGUUCGCUAUAGUUGCACAGUGUAGACCGCUAGCACGUGUUGUUGCAUGUCACCCGUCCAGGAAUAUUUUAUGAUUUUAUUUAUAGUGUUUAUUGUACCGUGGAAAUAUCCAACGCAUAAAUAGACAAUUGGCUUCAUUGGAAUUUAAACAAAGCCAAUUUUAACAAAAACAAGUUUUUGGCAACAAUAACUAAAAAUAACAAAAAUUAGAAAAAAAGACGCUAAAAUCUUGUUUAGUGUAAUAUAUA